UUUCAAUAUCAAAAUAGAUCUUUACUAGUGGAAAGACCUACAAUUGUUCUCUGAACAAUUGGUUUUUAAUUAUUAUUUUUUUUUUUUUUUCUUCCGCCUAAUUUUUUUCUUGCGUAGUAUUGAUGUUUCAAAAGAUGUCGCUUAGAUAUUUGGAAUAUGAUAUCGUAUAGUUUAUACGCUUUAAAAAUUUACAACUGCGUAACAAAAUACUUUACGUUGUAAGAGUUAUCUCCCCAAACACUGUUUUUCUUGUGGCCACUACUCCUUCGCAACCGUAAAAGAUUACGACAAAUUUAUUUUACCAAAUUGCUCGUUACAUCUUCAGGAUUAGGAUAUUCAUUUGGACCGAAGCUAUAC
rnacentral:lncRNA from 1 species